rnacentral:misc_RNA from 1 species
CCUGUUCGAGCGCCAUUUCAACCCUCAAGCCCCGCUUGGUGAUGGGCCACGUCGAUGAGGCGGGCCCGAAACUCUUGAACGCGCCGACGGUCGGCUCCUAGCGUAGCAAAACCCUCGCUUUGGAAACCGGCUGGCGGCAGCCUCGAAAGAAUACAUACAAGGUUGGCCUCGGAUCAGGUGGGGAUACCCGCUGAACUUAA